rnacentral:rRNA from 1 species
UACUCCUACGGGAGGCAGCAGUGGGGAAUAUUGCGCAAUGGGGGGAACCCUGACGCAGCCAUGCCGCGUGAAUGAAGAAGGCCUUCGGGUUGUAACGUUCUUUCGGUAUUGAGGAAGGUUGAUGUGUUAAUAGCACAUCAAAUUGACGUUAAAUACAGAAGAAGCACCGGCUAACUCCGUGCCAGCAGCCGCGGUAAUACGGAGGGUGCGAGCGUUAAUCGGAAUAACUGGGCGUAAAGGGCACGCAGGCGGUUAUUUAAGUGAGGUGUGAAAGCCCUGGGCUUAACCUAGGAAUUGCAUUUCAGACUGGGUAACUAGAGUACUUUAGGGAGGGGUAGAAUUCCACGUGUAGCGGUGAAAUGCGUAGAGAUGUGGAGGAAUACCGAAGGCGAAGGCAGCCCCUUGGGAAUGUACUGACGCUCAUGUGCGAAAGCGUGGGGAGCAAACAGGAUUAGAUACCCUGGUAGUCCACGCUGUAAACGCUGUCGAUUUGGGGGUUGGGGUUUAACUCUGGCGCCCGUAGCUAACGUGAUAAAUCGACCGCCUGGGGAGUACGGCCGCAAGGUUAAAACUCAAAUGAAUUGACGGA